UACGAAGGGGGCUAGCGUUGUUCGGAAUCACUGGGCGUAAAGGGCGCGUAGGCGGCUUUAUAAGUCGGGGGUGAAAGCCUGUGGCUCAACCACAGAAUUGCCUUCGAUACUGUAGAGCUUGAGACCGGAAGAGGUAAGUGGAACUGCGAGUGUAGAGGUGAAAUUCGUAGAUAUUCGCAAGAACACCCGUGGCGAAGGCGGCUCUCUGGAACGCAACUGACGCUGAGACGCGAAAGCGUGGGGAGCAAACAGG
rnacentral:rRNA from 1 species